ACCGCCCGUCACGUCAUGGAAGUUGGUUCUACCUGAAGACAGUGUUCUGACCGCAAGGAGGAAGCUGGCCACGGUAGGGUCAAUGACUGGGACG
rnacentral:rRNA from 1 species